AUUGAACGCUGGCGGCAGGCCUAACACAUGCAAGUCGAACGAGUGGCGGACGGGUGAGUAAUGUCUGGGAAACUGCCCGACGGAGGGGGAUAACUACUGGAAACGGUAGCUAAUACCGCAUACCAUCGGAUGUGCCCAGAUGGGAUUAGCUAGUAGGUGGGGUAACGGCGAACCUAGGCGACGAACCCUAGCUGGUCUGAGAGGAUGACCAGCCACACUGGAACAGGGACUCAGCCCAGACUCCUACGGGAGGCAGCAGUGGGGAAUAUUGCACAAUGGGCGAAAGCCUGAUGUAGCAAUGCCGCGUGUAUGAAGAAGGCCUUCGGGUUGUAAAGUACUUUCAGCGAGGAGGCGUUACUCGCAGAGGAAGCACCGGCUAACUCCGUGCCAGCAGCCGCGGUAAUUC
rnacentral:rRNA from 1 species